UUUGGAGGUCCAUAUGUGGCCUGUUAUUCCCUCGCUGUGCUCAUCUUGCUCUUCAAUGUUUACCAAAGCCACAGAGAUCUGAAGCAACGUGUGUGAUUUCAUGUCCACACUGUCCUCGUCAGUCGCACUGUUACCUAACCUCAGUCUGAAGAAACCAGGAGUUGGAUCUCUAUAGAGCACAGGGCCUAAAAGAGAGAUGCAGAAGAAAGGUGCAGGAAAUAAUCACUCUUCUCUGAAAGGACGGGAGUGUGAGGGAAGAACUUCCCUGCUGAUGGGGAAAAUAAGCCCACACUAAUAGAGAGUCAGCUGAACCUGUGGAUGUGUUCGGAUGCUCCUGCUGCAAAAAGGUCAGAUGUGUUGGAGUUUUUCAAUGCACAGCCAGCUUCGUUUUUUCGAUCAUGCAAACAUUUCAGUGACUAACCCAUCGGAGCAGCCUGUAUCCCAUCUGUGCCUCCUCAAAGAAAAGCCUGCGAUCACACUCUGAUCAGACACUUCUGUAAAAAAAAUCAGUCUU
ensembl:lncRNA